rnacentral:rRNA from 1 species
CCUACGGGAGGCAGCAGUGAGGAAUAUUGGUCAAUGGACGGAAGUCUGAACCAGCCAUGCCGCGUGCAGGAAGACGGCUCUAUGAGUUGUAAACUGCUUUUGUACAAGGGUAAACCUGAAUACGUGUACUCAGUUGAAUGUACCGUAUGAAUAAGGAUCGGCUAACUCCGUGCCAGCAGCCGCGGUAAUACGGAGGAUCCAAGCGUUAUCCGGAUUUAUUGGGUUUAAAGGGUGCGUAGGCGGCUUGAUAAGUUAGCGGUGAAAUGUCCGAGCUUAACUCGGGAACUGCCUCUAAUAGUGUUGAUCUAGCGAGUAGAUGCGGUAGGCGGAAUGUAUGGUGUAGCGGUGAAAUGCUUAGAGAUCAUACAGAACACCGAUUGCGAAGGCAGCUUACCAAUCUAUAUCUGACGUUGAGGCACGAAAGCGUGGGGAGCAAACAGGAUUAGAUACCCUGGUAGUC